CACGUAGGGGGCAAGCGUUGUCCGGAUUUAUUGGGCGUAAAGGGCUCGUAGGCGGCCAACUAAGUCAGACGUGAAAUCCCUCGGCUUAACCGGGGAACUGCGUCUGAUACUGGAUGGCUUGAGAUUGGGAGAGGGAUGCGGAAUUCCAGGUGUAGCGGUGAAAUGCGUAGAUAUCUGGAGGAACACCGGUGGCGAAGGCGGCAUCCUGGACCAACACUGACGCUGAGGAGCGAAAGCCAGGGGAGCAAACGGG
rnacentral:rRNA from 1 species